GAAAGAAUAGGCAAAUUUAAAGAGAAAAACACCCUUUAGAUGGGGGAGUUCAGUCCCUGUUUCUCUUCCCACAUUCUAAGACACGGUCUGAAAUUGCUUAGCUCCCCCACAUGGUGUCGCUGUCUACUCAUAAAUAAGCGCUCUGUUAAAUGUUUCCAGACUGAAAAUCCAAAGAUCUGGAAUCCCAAACCGCCCACCUCCCUCGGGAACUCAUACCCCCACCAAAGCCUAGCACAGGGCAAACGCUAGGCUCAAUCACGGUUUCUAAGCUGGAGGCCCGUGAGAGGCCGCAGAUCCGCGCACCGAGCUCCCCGCAGAUCGUGCGCCAAUUGGGGCACCCUCGCGGUGGUCCAACUGAGCCGUAGCUAGGCCUGGUGGAGUGGAGGGGGGAGGACCAAUGGAGAGGACGCAGGGAGGAGCAUCUGGGCAGGGACAGGACCACCAGCUGGCCGGCGGGGCGGAGCCACAUCCGGCUCCCCCAGGGCCUGAAGCCCUGCUCCCCAGGUGUCCCCCACCCCCGGCACCACCCCAGCAAACUACCCUACCCUUCCCCACCCGCGGGCACUUCCGGGACCACUCUAGGCCUCAGGAGGUCUCAUCAUCUCUGUGCUCCUGCUGCUGAGCCUGGCCGCUGGUGGCCUGGUGUCCCUAAAGCAUGUUCUAGCACAGCGGAGCGGAGCCCGCGUUGGACGGAGCGCACAGGAAAAUACUGAGGUUGGGAAAGGCGAGUCUAGAGCCUCCAAUUACAGCUGAACCUUCCUUGAGGCUAGGCUCGAGAUCCUUCAUUCAAAGGUAACCCUGGCCAGACAUGCCCCCUCCCCCACCGCUCAUAUAGGACCACAAUGAGGUGAAGGGGGAUGAAAGCAAGAAGGGCGAGAAGAGUGUAAGCUAGACCCUUCUGGGACUCCGUAACUCCCAAACGCGGCAUCUGGAUGCUCAUCUCCAGAAAUGAGGGCCCUUCUGAGAACACCUGCCUCUAACCAUCAAGAUCUUUGGGAACCUGCCCGGAGACUUCAGAAAAGAGGCAGGGCUGCCCCUCCCCUCCCCAUCAGCAUGAACUCCAUGGGGACCAGCCACCCAAGAACCACGAGCGUUGGACCACAAUCAGCCAUGCAGGACUUAGGGGCGGGGGUGGGGGGAGGGUGGCAAGUGUUGGUUCCUGUUUCACUACCUUCAGGUCACUGGAAGGCCAGGAGGGAAGCUAAACCCCUAAGGGAUAGGGACAAAGCUGGGCCACAUUCCCUAAGGGUCUCAGUUGUUUCCUCUUUAGACAACAAUCAUCAAAAUCCCAACCUCCACAUCCUCCGAUUUGACAUUUAUUUUAUUUAUUUGUUUACGCAGGAUCUCACAGUUCUCAGGACAGUGGUUGACCCGUCGUCAACGUGUUAUUAA
rnacentral:lncRNA from 1 species